CUCUCUCUCUCUCUCUCUCUCUCUCUCUCUCUCUCUCUCUCUCUCUCUCUCUCUACUAAUAAGCAUGGCAGACAGGUGAGGGAGGGAUUCGGUGAGGUGUAUGUGCUUCGCUCAGUUUAGUUAGUCUGUGCAGCACAAGAAGAUGAAGCUGCCAGCAUGAUCUGAAAGCCGACGCGUUCGUCCUGAUCGUGUCUGGAGAGGGACUGCACGGGAAACAGCAGGCGACCAGAUCAUCUAGCAGUUUCAUUCUCUUGUGGCGGCACACACACCUUCCACAUACUUGUGAUGAAACCCUAGAGCGAGGCUGGAAGGCAACGUAGCUGUUCUUCUUCCACGGCGAGAUAUACAACAGCGACGGUAAGGCCAAGCCAAGGAUCAUGUAAGUUCUGCACCACUUCACACGCAGCUUUUUAAUUUAUUUGCUCCUGAUGGAACGGCCGGCGCGGGUAGGGUUUUCUGUUUUCAGGCGAGGAAGCCUUGCAUCUGCAGAUAGAUGACGGUCGAUCUCGAUGCAUAUGUUACUUGCUCUUCCUGCGUUAUUAAUUAUAUUAUUGUUGGUUGUUGAUUUCGUUUCUGCAAGAGAGUUUGUUUGUCUACACAAUCCUAUAUUUUUGUUAUUUUCUGCCAAGUUAAUAAUAACUGCUCAAGUUUCUUCUAAUAAGGCAUUUGGAUCCAGGAUGCCAUGUCUCAUCAUCAUUUAGACAGACACACAAGAAUAACUGUAGAUCAGAUCAGCUUAUAGGAUCAAUCUAUGACCAAUUAUGACAAAAAAACAAUAGUAAUAUAUUGCCAAAUAAAUAUGCGAUGUAUGCAAAAUCAAAUGAACAAAAUUUAGAUCUGAUUCUGAUUCAAAAUGAAACAUAACGCUAAUUUUCAGAGAAACUAUAUAUGAUUCAUCACAAAAAAUAGAGUUUCUGAUCAAGUUUCAACAGUUGCAUUUGAUUAAUCUGUAGUACGAUGUUACAGGUCACUCAUUGCUCAGUUAACUCUUCUGAUAAACCAUAUGUUACAGGUCACUCACUGCUUAAUUAACUCAUUUGAUAUACCAUCAUUCAGAAGCUCCUCUUAUGUCAAGUCAAUAUUUGACACUACAUGAUGCUAGAUACAGUAUCACAGAGCACGGAGACCUGUCAGUAGUACUUGAUGUUUCAUCUGAAAAGAACACGUGCAUUUACCAGAAGUAUGAAUCAACAUAACAGUCUCCGGGAUAUUAUUGUCCUACAUAAAUUUCCAACGAGUUCUAGUACACAGCUAAGAGUACAGGCGUGCUGCUAAGUUUUACAGAUCUGCAUUCUACUUAACAUUUGUCAAAUUGUUCACCAUACACACAUGCCUAUAUCAAGCCUCAACUAUGUGUCUCUGUGUUCAA